GGUGAACGUUGGCGGUGCGUCUAAUACAUGCAAGUCGAGCGAGGCUUCGAGCCGAGCGGCAGACGGCUGAGUAACACGUUGGUAACUACCUCAAACUCAGGGAUAGCGCCGAGAAAUCGGUGCUAAUACCGGAUGGUCCCGUAAGGGUAAAGUUUUUACGGUUUGAGAGGUGCCUGCGUCCUAUCAGGUAGUUGGUGAGGUAACGGCUCACCAAGCCUAUGACGGGUAACUGGUCUGAGAGGAUGACCAGUCAGAGGGAAACUGAGACACGGUUCCCACUUCUACGGAAGGCAGCAGUAAAGAAUCUUCCACAAUGGACGAAAGUCUGAUGGAGCGACACCGCGUGCAGGAUGAAGGCCCUUGGGUCGUAAACUGCUUUUUUGGGGGAAAAAUUCUGAUUGUACCCUAAGAAUAAGCACCGGCAAAUCACGUG
rnacentral:rRNA from 1 species